rnacentral:rRNA from 1 species
AGGACGAACGCUGGCGGCGUGCUUAACACAUGCAAGUCGAGCGGAAAGGCCCUUCGGGGUACUCGAGCGGCGAACGGGUGAGUAACACGUGAGUAACCUGCCCCUAGCUCUGGGAUAGCUCCGGGAAACCGGGAUUAAUACCAGAUACGACCACUUUAGACAUCUGUCGUGGUGGAAAGGAUUCCGGCUAGGGAUGGGCUCGCGGCCUAUCAGCUUGUUGGUGGGUAACGCCUACAAGGCGACGACGGUA